rnacentral:rRNA from 1 species
GGUGAACGCUGGCGGCGUGCCUAAUACAUGCAAGUCGAGCGAACAGACGAGGAGCUUGCUCCUCUGACGUUAGCGGCGGACGGGUGAGUAACACGUGGAUAACCUACCUAUAAGACUGGGAUAACUUCGGGAAACCGGAGCUAAUACCGGAUAAUAUAUUGAACCGCAUGGUUCAAUAGUGAAAGACGGUUUUGCUGUCACUUAUAGAUGGAUCCGCGCCGCAUUAGCUAGUUGGUAAGGUAACGGCUUACCAAGGCAACGAUGCGUAGCCGACCUGAGAGGGUGAUCGGCCACACUGGAACUGAGACACGGUCCAGACUCCUACGGGAGGCAGCAGUAGGGAAUCUUCCGCAAUGGGCGAAAGCCUGACGGAGCAACGCCGCGUGAGUGAUGAAGGUCUUCGGAUCGUAAAACUCUGUUAUUAGGGAAGAACAAAUGUGUAAGUAACUAUGCACGUCUUGACAGUACCUAAUCAGAAAGCCACGGCUAACUACGUG